GUGAGACAAACCCCAGCCACAUCUCCAGCACACAAGAACUUCCAAAUGCCUAAACCACAGUGGCCAGGCGUUCCUCCAGAACCGCCUCCCCCAGGAGCUUGCUACAAGUGCCAGAAAUCUGGCCACCAGGCCAAGGAAUGCCCGCAGCCCAGGAUUCCUCCUAAGCCGCGUCCCAUCUGUGCAGGACCCCACUAGAAAUCGGACUGUUCAACUCACCUGGCAGCCACUCCCAGAGCCCCUGGAACUCUGGCCCAAGGCUCUCUGACUGACUCCUUCCCAGAUCUUCUCGGCUUAGCAGCUGAAGACUGACGCUGCCCGAUCACCUCAGAAGCCCUGUAGACCAUCACAGACGCCAAGCUUUAAGUAACUCUCACAGUGGAAGGGAAACCAAAUCAUGGUAUUCUGAAGACCAGAGAUGAUAAUCUCCCUCAUUUGGCUUCCCACUGGGUCCGAUCUGUUAUUCACUACAAAUGCCCAGCUGCUAAGACUACACAAGCACACUCCCUGUAGGCCCAGGAACUAUUGCAGAAGAAAUGGGUGUAUGAGAUUUUAAGGGCUGGUUUUUGAGGGAUAUAAUUAAGUCAAGGUCACAACCUCCAAAUGAAGUUUGGGUACAAAGAUGCCUAAACAGCUGGUAAAACAAUGGCCUUUGCUUCUUGAGCUAUUAUGGGGCACCUUUGCAUCCACCCCAGCUAUUAAGAAUUUCCUUCUCCUGGGCCAGGCACGGUGGCUCAUGCCUGUAAUCCUAGCACUUUGGAAGGCUGAGGCAGGUGGAUCACGAGGUCAGGAGAUCGAGACCAUCCUGGCUAACACGGUGAAACCCCGUCUCUACUAAACAUACAAAAAAUUAGCCGGGCAUGGUGGUGCACACCUGUAGUCCCAGCUACACUGGAGGCUGAGGCAGAAUUGCUUGAACCUGGGAGGUGGAGGUUGCAGUGAGCCGAGAUGGCACCACUGCACUCCAGCCUGGGCAACAGACUGAGACUCCAUAUUAAAAAAAAAAAAAAGAAAAGAAUUUCCUUCUCCUGUAGAAUGAAAAGAAAAUAAUUUUUGAUAGGAUAAACAUACGCCGUGACAAAGCCUCCUGGGUAUAAGACUCCCAGCUAUGAACUGUACAGAUAGAUAUAUAUUUCUUUAAAAAAAUGUUUUCCAAACAAUGCUUGUGUUUUAUAGAGCUAAUUGCUAUAAGUCUGUAACUGAAACCAAGAUUACAGUAACUCAACAAAUAGAAGUUUAAAAUAAGCCAGCUUUGGGCCAGGCACAGUGGCUCAUGCCUGUAAUCCCAACACUUUGGGAGGCCGAGGUGGGUGAAUCACUUGAGGCCAGGAGUCCAAGACCAGGCUGGACAACAUGGUGAAAUCCCGUUUCUACUAAAAAUACAAAAAUUAGCCAGCUAAUAUAAUUUACUUUUUUUUUUUCUGAGACAGAGCCUCACUCUGUUGUCCAGGCU
rnacentral:lncRNA from 1 species